CCCCGUCAUACCGAUCUCAGGCUUGAAUCGCAGAGAUCACCAAACGCCCCGGCGCUGUAGGAUGUGGCUGCGGUUGAUUAGGUUGACGGUGGGGUAACGGCCCACCGUGCCCAUAAUCAGUACAGGUUGUGAGAGCAAGAACCUGGAGACGGAAUCUGAGACAAGAUUCCGGGCCCUACGGGGCGCAGCAGGCGCGAAACCUUUACACUGCACGCACGUGCGAUAAGGGGACUCCGAGUGCGAGGGCAUAUCGUCCUCGCUUUCGUGUACCGUAGGGUGGUACACCAACAAGGGCUGGGCAAGACCGGUGCCAGCCGCCGCGGUAAUACCGGCAGCCCGAGUGAUGACCGAUCUUAUUGGGCCUAAAGCGUCCGUAGCUGGCUACGCAAGUCCGUCGGGAAAUCCACUCGCCCAACGAGUGGGCGUCCGACGGAAACUGCAUAGCUUGGGACCGGAAGGCUCGAAGGGUACGUGCGGGGUAGGAGUGAAAUCCCAUAAUCCCGCACGGACCACCGAUGGCGAAAGCACUUCGAGAAAACGGAUCCGACAGUGAGGGACGAAAGCCAGGGUCUCCAACCGGAUUAGAUACCCGGGUAGUCCUGGCCGUAAACAAUGUUCGCUAGGUAUGACACAGACUACGUGUCUCUGUUGUGCCGUAGGGAAGCCGAGAAGCGAACCGCCUGGGAAGUACGUCUGCAAGGAUGAAACUUAAAGGAAUUGGCGGGGGAGCACUACAACCGGAGGAGCCUGCGGUUUAAUUGGAGUC
rnacentral:rRNA from 1 species